UGUGCACCUUCUAUGAGAGCAAGAGGCUGACCACGGACAAGGCCAACAUCAACGACCUGUCCCAGAUCCUGAAGAAGAUGCCCCAGUAUCAGAAGGAGCUGAACAGGUACUCCACGCAUCUGAACCUGGCCGAGCACUGCAUGCGGCACUUCAAAAGAAC